rnacentral:rRNA from 1 species
GACGAACGCUGGCGGCGUGCCUAAUACAUGCAAGUCGAGCGAACAGACGAGGCGCUUGCUCCUCUGACGUUAGCGGAGGACGGGUGUGACACACGUGGAUCCCCUCCCUAACAGACUGGUAAAACUUGGGGACACCGGCGCUAAUCGGGGAUAAUCUCUUGCACCAUGUGGUUGAAUAGAAAAAGUCGGCUUUGCUGGCACUUAUAGCUGGAUCCUAGCCGGAUUAGCUAGUUGGUAAGGUAAAGGCUUACCACGGGUACGCUGCGUAGCCGACCGGAGAGGGUGAUCGCCCACACUGGAACUUGGACACGGUCCAUACGCCUGCGAUAGGCAGCAGAAGGGAAUCUUCCGCAAUGGGCGAAAGCCUUACGGAGCAACGCCGCGUGAGUGAUGAAGGUCUUCGGAUCGUAAAGCUCUGUUACGAGUUAUGAACAAAUGUGUAAGUAACUAUACACGUCGUGACGGUACCGAAUCAGAAAGCCACGGCUAACUACGUG